GUGGCAAGAGGUUCCAAUAGCCGCUUCAUGCUUCUCCAAACAACCUCCUUGUCACACUUGCUGUCGAGAUAAAUGGCACCAGCUAUUGAUUCAAUCACAUCCCCGAGAACCUGUUUGUUUGCAAGUAAAGCAAUAGAUCCAGCUUAAGCUAUUCGAUGGAAAAUAUUACAGAAGUGCACAAAAAUAGAAAGAAGCAUGCACUGGAUGCGGAACAUUAUGGAAGGAACAUAUGAGAAGAUGUGCAAAUUAUUGGCGGACACUGGUGACAUGAUAAUUCUGCAGAGUUCAGGUGGCAACUCAACACUAUAUCUAUCACCAGGUUCUGAAACAAGGAAAAAAGAUGACCAAAUCAGUGAUUUAUGCAUAUGUAGCUCUGUAAAGAUAGUACAGGCAGUACAUUAGUUGGACCAUUGUCUAAGAGUUCAGCUAUAACCCACUGUAACAUGCCUCAUUGAUAGCGAUGCAAAAUACACAUGUAUGAUCAAGCCCAGCAAUAUGUGUGGGAUUUAA